rnacentral:lncRNA from 1 species
GAGAAUUUGAUCUUGUUCUUGCAAUGAAUGAACAAACCAAAGGUAGAGUAAAGAGUAAUUAUUCAACAUUCAACCAAAAAUAUUAUGUGGUUAGAAGUGCUUAGUUUUUGAAGAGUUGAAGUUAACUUCAGUUAUUGAUGAAUGUUGAUGUUUUGCAGAGGACAUAUUGAAGUCUUUUAAUGUACAAAAUCAAGAGGGAAUUUCCCACCUGAUGAAGAUAAAAAAGUACCGUUAGUGUUUGUUCUUUAGAAAGUUGCUCCUCUAGUUAGGUUAAUAAGCAUCACUUUAGAGCUCAUUUAGUUGUAAGUCAAUAAAGUCACUAUAUAAGGUCGUUUAGGCAAAGAAGUAAACGGGAGUCAUCAUAUGGGGCAGUUAACUCGGUUGGUAGAUGUGGGGCUUAGUUUGCACUUCUCUUAAUGCGUCUUUCAAUUCAAAUGCUUAUAUUCCUGGUUGAUCUGUUUUGUUAGGAGAAAGCUCACAUGGAAACUUGAAUAUUGAUCUCUUAAUUACUUGGUCUACUUGUUUUCUUUGACAGGUACUGGUCUUGGUAGAAGAUGCAUGUGACUGUUUACUGGAUAGUAUCACUACGGCAAGUUGAUGAAAUUGCAAGUUCAAAAUCUUAAUUCCGGAACUAUUAGGAAGACUUUAUGCCUUUAAGAGAAUCCCACAAUCAACAUUUUGGCAAAUUUGAUUCAACAAAGCUGCAUCUGAGAUUUUCUUUGUAAUUGGUUGUGAAUAUUAUGAUAAGUU